GGCCUCCUGGUGCUUACCACAGGCUGUGUUCUUUACUUUGAAGUUAUAAAAAGAGGAGGCACAGUAAAUGCACCCCUUAUACACCUCAGCCCAGGUUCUUUUUGCCUGGUUUGUAUUGUAAAUGGAGGAGACAUGG